GGGGGUGUAAGGGUUCGACAGCAUUGCCAAAGGAAGGCUACAAGCGGAGCUGUUAUCUCCUAAAACUGACAAACUUUCCAAUAUAAAUGCCAACACUGAAACGGCACCUACUUUUAGCGUAACUGGAAACGCUACCCCAGCAGUAGCUGGCGUGUAGCACCAGCUAAAAGUAGCGUUCCUCCUGUUCUCUGCUCGUAGGAGCUUGAGGGGCGACGAUUAUACGAGCUUACCUUUAACUCUUUUCUCGAGAGUUUUGGGGAAACUUUCAGAGAUUGGGAU
rnacentral:tmRNA from 1 species